rnacentral:rRNA from 1 species
AUUGAACGCUGGCGGCAGGCCUAACACAUGCAAGUCGAACGAGUGGCGGACGGGUGAGUAAUGUCUGGGAAAAUGCCUGAUGGAGGGGGAUAACUACUGGAAACGGUAGCUAAUACCGCAUACAAUCAGAUGUGCCCAGAUGGGAUUCGCUAGUAGGUGGGGUAAUGGCUCACCUAGGCGACGAUCCCUAGCUGGUCUGAGAGGAUGACCAGCCAAACUGGAACUGAGACACGGUCCAGACUCCUACGGGAGGUAGCAGUUGGGAAUAUUGCACAAUGGGCGCAAGCCGGAUGCAGCCAUGCCGCGUGUGUGAAGAAGGCCUGCGGGUGGUAAAGCACUUUCAGCGAGGAGGCGUUACUCGCAGAAGAAGCACCGGCUAACUCCGUGCCAGCAGCCGCGGUAAUAC